rnacentral:rRNA from 1 species
UACAGAGGUCUCAAGCGUUGUCCGGAUUUAUUGGGUUUAAAGGGUGCGUAGGUGGUCAAUUAAGUCAGUGCUGAAAUAUCCCGGCUUAACCGGGAGGGUGGCAUUGAUACUGAUUGACUUGAGUAGAGUUGAGGUAGGCGGAAUUGACGGUGUAGCGGUGAAAUGCUUAGAUAUCGUCAAGAACACCGAUAGCGAAGGCAGCUUACUAAGCUCAAACUGACACUGAUGCACGAAAGUGUGGGGAUCAAACAGG